rnacentral:rRNA from 1 species
CCGGUGACAAACCGGAGGAAGUGGGGAUGACGUCAAGUCCUCAUGGCCCUUAUAGGUGGGGCUACACACGUCAUACAAUGGCCGGUACAGAGGGUAGCCAACCCGCGAGGGGGAGCCAAUACCCACCAAAGCCGGUCGUAGUCCGGAUCGCAGUCUGCAACUCGACUGCGUGAAGUCGGAAUCGCUAGUAAUCGCGGAUCAGCAUGUCGCGGUGAAUACGUUCCCGGGUCCUU